ensembl:snRNA U7 U7 small nuclear RNA
UAGUGUUAUAGCUCUUUUAGAAUUUGUCUAGCAGGCUUUCUGGUUUUUACCAGAAAGCUCCC